CAGAAAAGAGUAUGUUGCGUUGUAAUUUAUUUUACUGAGUUGUUGAAUCCCAUCAACCUGUGGUUUUGGCGCUGGCGAUUCGAAUAUUUCAAAGAUAAGGUUCCAAGCUGUUGGAGUAGGCUCCCACGUCGAAGGUUGGGUGUUAAACCUUACAGUACUUCCAAAAUUCCCCGGCCAACCAUUGUAGCGAACUUGUUGGCCAGCGUUGUUUAGAUACAAGAGGAGGCCAUCAUCUCCAAGCACUAAGCUGUACUUUCGAUCGGAGCCAUCAACAUCAGAAGUUCGACUGACAAGCUUGUUUACGCCACUCCCGCGAAGGGACUGCCCAACUAGUAACGAAUCAACUGGAUAAUCAAAGCUUUGCCAAAUGAACUUUCCCUUUGUAUCAUACAGCACAAGGUUGCCAUUCUGGAGUAAUUUGAUGCCCGUGACACCCUUGUUAGCCGUGUUGGUUUGCCACACAAGGCCGCCGUCAGAGUCGGCUAGGACCAAGUUUCCAUCCCGGCCGAAAGAAAGGGUGGCGUUUUCUUUCACGGGGUGGUUGCGGUUGGCGUCCCAAACCCAUCGCAUUAGGCCCUCGUCAUCUGGGAUGCCAACACGAAUGCCAAGCACGAAAGAAGUUGGGGUGGUGUUGUAGAAACACAGUCUGAAGGGGAAUGUGUAGAAAUCAUAGACAUCAUUGGUUAUGAUGCGAUAAGUUGCCCCAUACUCAGCUGUGGGUACGAAAUUUUGGAAUUCUCCCAGUGGACCUGUGUUGACAAUUUUGAAGGUAUUGUUUGUUGGCACUUGAGCUCUGGUGCUAAUGGCCAAGAAACAGAGGAGGAGGAGAAUGCUAAGACAGGGUGAAAAUGGAAAGGUACGACGAGCCAUUGGAAUUCUUUUUGUGCAAUAAGGAAUAAAGGGCAAGCUAAUCAGUUGGAAAUGGAAUGAGAGAUAUGAAGUGGGUUGUAACCAUUUGGUAUUUAUAGAUUUUUUUUAUUGGUUUUUCUGCAUACAAUUGUUGAAAUUUGAAAACUGAUCAAAAAAAUAUUGAAAAUUGAAAUUUGAAUUUCAACGUCAAAGUUGGUAACCUGCAAACAAGAUUGAGCAUCCAUCUAGUAACAUAGUAUUACAUAAUUUUGUUCUAUGUCGUUUUGGUUGUCAAAUGAUUAUAAUGUACAACACAAUUUUUUAUAAGGGAAAACGAAACAAAUAAUCCCUUACAUAUUACUUAUUUAAUCAUUCACAUACAUAAAAAUGCAAAUUCAUCCUUUAAAUAUAUAAGGGAUAAUUUUAGAAACCUCCCUGAGGUUUCUAAUAAUUUCACAAAGCUCCCCUUAAUAUUUCAAAAUUACACAUACCUCCCCUAUUGCUGUAAAAGUACUCUACUACCCCUAUAUAGGAUACUUAAUGACUUUUUCUUUUUGGAAAUUUCAGAAAUUUCAAGAAAAACUAAAAUUGACUUGUUUUUUCUCUCUCUCUCUCUCUCUACCUUACUCUUUCUUCCAUUUCCUUUUUUGCUAAAUUCCUACCACUCAUUCCUCUCUACCUAAUAUUCUUCCUCCAAUUCACGACCAAAUUCUAUCUAUUAUCCCUUACCCGUAUUUAUCCCCCUCCUUCCCUUUUUCUUCUUCUUCUUUUAUCUCUAUUCUCAUCUCUUUUUUGCAAAUAUGAUCAAGUUCAUCCUUUUUAUCCUUUUAAUUCUAAGUGUAAUGGGUUUGAUUUUUCUGCGUCUAUUUAUUUUAUCCAAUGUUAGUUGAUUAUGGGUGAUAAAACUUAGUGAUGUCAAAAGUCAAGAAUUUGAGGGAUGGAUGUGCUUUAGAAAUGGGUUGUCGAAAAAAAAAAGAAGGCUGCAAAAAGAGAAAGACGAGAGAUCUGUGCUAUUGAUUGUUGAUGAAGUGUUAGUUUUGGGUAAAAGUUUGAGACUGAGUUUUAUCCAAUUUAGCACCAAGUGACGGAUUUAAUUAACUUGUGUAGUAAAUGUAGCCAUGUAGGGGUUGGGUUAUUGGACAUAAAUUAGGCUAUAGUGUUUUAAGUGCUAGAAUUAUUGAAAUUUAUUUUGAUUUAAAUUGGGGUGUUUGCUUGGCUUUUGGGGUGGAGUUGUUUGGAAUAAGGCAAUCAUCAUAGUUGAAUUUUUCUCCAAACUUUUAUUUUUGGUAGAAAGAGUUUGUUGGCUCUGGUGUUAGAAGAAAAGCAAUCAACAGAGCUCUUUUAUUUUUCCUUUUUAUCUUUUUGACAAAAAGGGUAGUUUAGGAUAUUUGAAGGAAUUGGUAGCCUAUUGGACAUAUUUUGAAGCAUAAAUAGUGAAAGCAAGGUAGGUGUGUGUAAUUUUUGAAACCUAAGGGGAGCUUCUUGUAAUUGUUAGAGACCUCAAGGGAGGUUUAUGAAAUUAUCCCAAUAUAUAAAUUGCAUCAUGUUUGUCUGAAAAUUCAUUUUAGGAAAUUCUUUUUUUACCUGAAAACGCCAUGUGGCUACCAAAUGAAAUAUUUCAAAGAUAAAAAAGACAUUACAUACUCAUGAUUUAUCCAUUUUUUUUUGCCUUUUUUCCUCCUCUGUUUUUGCUUCACCAACAUUCAAACAGCAAAUCCUAGAUCCACCACCAUAGUCCGCAAUUUCCAGAUAACAAACACUAUCAAAUAUUGUUUAAUAUCCAGAAAUUGUAAAUUACGGAGAUUUUGCUACAAAAGCCUCAUUGCUGCCGCUAUAACAAGACAAACGCCGCUAUAGUUUGAUAAGCAUACAGAAUAGAGGAUUUGUAUGCUAAUUAAUUUUCUUUUUGUUUUCUGAAAAAGGAAUAAUAUUAAUCAUUCGAUCAUGCAAUUCUAAUAGUGCUUAAAUAAUUAGAUUAGAUUGUGGUGCGAUUGGUAUAUGUCAGGAAUGAAUUUGCAUCAUUUUGAUAAUGAGCGAUUAAAUAACUACAAAUGCGACUACUUGUAUUUUUUUUUUUUACAAUAUCGCAACACAUCAUCUGUCCCGCUUUUUAUUUCACUCCAUAUCUCAGCUUUUAUUAUAGUGUCAUUUUUCUUUCACAAACAUCUUAUUCUACUUCUUUUUUAUUUCCUUAAGUUCCAAUAACUACUAACAUAUUGUAAAACACAAAUUUAAUCAUACAAAAAAAAAACAAAAUAUCACUAAAAAAAUGAGAUUUUUAUGAUUUUUUUUGUUGUACUUUUUGUUUUUCUAUUAAGGAAAAUGAUCGGUUUCAUUCUUCACAUUUCACAAAAAUAUUCUUUUCAUCCCUCACUUAAAAACCGAAGCAAUAUCGCCCUUGACAUUUAAAAACUGAAGUUCUUACAUCCCUGAACCCAAAUUUCAAUGUGAAUCAAACUACCAAUCAACUUGAUUACAAAUUUUGGGGAUGUAAUUGGUAGAUCACUUGGUUAACUCACCUUGAUAUUCAUGUAAAAUUUAACGAACCCAAAAAUAAAAAAUAAAAAAUUAUAACAUAAAAAAGAAAUAUUAAUCUUUCCUACAUUAUCAUUAUAUACACUGACGGUGACGGUUUUAUGUACCGCCAUAUCAUUUCAAUUUAAAUUUAAACACCAAAUUUUAUAUUUAUGAUACGCAUCUAGAUUCGCAAGCGGAUAUACAAACGGUGUAUGAAAAGAUUUAUCCAAAAAAAAAACUCUACUAUUCCAAGACAAAGAAUGGCCUUUUAUGUUAUAAUUUUUAUUUUUUUUUUGGUUUAAUAAAUGUCAUGUGAAUAUGAUGAAAUUGACUGGGUGAUUUAUCAAUUCUAUUUCCAAAAUUUAUUACUAGGUUAUUGAAUGGUUUGAUUCAGAUUCAAAAUUAGGUUCAGGGAUGUAAUAGUUUUAAUUUUUAAAUGUCAGGGACGAAUUUGCUUCAUUUUAAAAGUAAAGGACGAAAAGAAUAUUUUUGCGAAAUGUGAAGGAUGAAAUAGGUCAUUUUUCCUUUCUAUUGUAUUAUACUUUUUAAUAUGUUGAAUUUUGUGUUUUACCCUUUAGUAGUCAUUGAAACUUUAGGAAAUAAAAUAAAAUAUUUGUAAAGGAGGAAUGACAAAAUAAUUAAAGAUGUGACAUACGAUAAAAGAGGUAGGAUACAGUGGGUCAUAAUAUGCAAAAAAUGGCAAGUAUUAAGCUACUAAAAAUAAAUGGUAGAAAGAAAGUCCACUUUUGGAAGUUUGAAGUCAAUAUAGCAGCUGAGUCAAAAAAAAAAAAGUCAAUAUAGCAGCCUGUAGAUGUGCUGCAAUCCCCUUAGAACCGGGCUCCGUGUCGUCUUCACCCUUCACUAAUUAGCAACUUGAGCACAUUGCAGACAAACCUUUCCUCUUUGCCUUUGGGGUUAGAAGAUGGGAAAACGCGUCUGCUUCUUCUAUACUUUUGGGCUGUAACGCAGCAGCAUUUAGCAACUGUAAUGAAGUUAAUAAAGUUUAACAGAAGGAUAACAUCAAGGUUUUAGACAAUUAUCCUAGAUCCAAACCUUCCAAUUGCCUGAACCAUAAAGGACUUUAACAUCUUUGGCUCCCGGUUUGAGUGCGCUAGGCUCAAAGAUUGGCGAAGAACGUUUGGCACGGUUAAAUUGAAAACCAGCAUUAAAUGGUGACAGUCCAUUUUGUAUCCUUCCAUUUUUUUUUGUUUGGAUCCAUUUUGGUUCUCUUUUGCAUGGGCGCAAUCUGUAGCAAUAGAUGCUGAUGCAGAUCAGCAGAUGGAUGCUUCCAGUUCCAUAUGGGAUGAAUUGUGAUCAAAGUAUUAAUCUAUCCUUAUGGCUUUGUUUCAUGUUUACCUGCUUGGCAAUGAGAAAAGCCAUGCACGGCUUUCUUUAUUUGUUGAGAGACUGAUCACAUCAAAACCAAGAGAUUCAUCACCUCAAACCGCGCAUGAUUUUUAAUUUAUCAAGUCAGUCAAGAAUUGUGUGGUAGCUUUGUGGGCUGGGAAAGUGGGAAUGCGCCAGAAUUUGCAGAUUGGUUGUGGUCCUGUGGAGUGGACCUGCGCGCAUUGCUAGCUUUGAGUGAUUGGAAAAGUCGGGCGAAUGGAUAAAUAUUGAAUACAUGCAUGCAUGAUAUAAAGUCAUUAGCAACCAAUGUCAAAUAGUCAUUGCAGAAGACUUGUGGGUUCCUCUUUGAUGUCUUGGACCAUUUCGAUAUGUGUUCUUUGAACAUAAUUGUGUGCUUAUCAUUAAUGGCAUGAUGGUAUAAUCUUUCUUUCCUGUCUCUUUUUGUUAUGCGCGCAAGAAUGAUCAACAUCGACAAGUUUGCUUGCGGUUGGUUGUUAGAUGCACGAUUUUGAUUUACUUAUUUGUUUUUGGUAAAUAAAAGUUUGAUUUUAAAGGAGAGGAACAUAGUUCAGGCUAAGGCUCUGUUUGGUAUGAUAUAAAGUAUUUUCCUUAAGAAAAUAUUUUCCAUGGAAGUUCUUUUCUGGGAAAAUAUUCACAUUUUUCAAUGUUUUCUGAUGUUUGGUUGAAAUUUUUAACUACAUUUUUAUUAUCAAAAUUCAACUCCUUCCGCCACUCGCUUUUCUCUUCCACUGCUGGAAACCGAUCUUCCUAAUUCCUACCACUAAAAAUAGCAGAACCGCUCAAAAUGGAAUAAUCCAAGUCAGGCAUAAGGACAAUUCGUUGACUCAUAACUAUUGGCGCCAUAAAAGACAUUACCAAGCUAGACAUAUCAAGACCAUGAAAUGGCUGGUGAUUAAGGUCAAUCAAUGAAAGUGAAAGAACAGGCAUAAAUAUCUUCUCAAGUUGAAGAAAUAGGCUCUGUUCUUUUUCAUAUGAUUAGUGCUCUUAUUGACUCGUAUAUGAAAUUUGGUUUAAAGAUCAUAUACUAGCGCUCAAACCACAACCUCAAAGGCAUUAAAAUCCAGGCAAAUUUGAGCUAAAGAUACAUAAUUUUGAUUAAGAAAACAGUGUAAAGAAAAUUAAAAUGACUGAAGAAAGACAGUGGGAAUUGAUAAUAAUCCAAAUUGUUAACAAAUUCGUAGUGUUUGCGUCACCAGUAAAUUCAUCAGCAUCAAAAGCACAAUGUCAAAGAGAUCAGAGUGAGUAGGGUGAGGCCUUUUUUUUUUUUUGAAUAUGCUACAAGCUUUGAAAGUUUGACAAAUACCUUUAAUAGGCGGCCACAUGCGUUUAUAAAAACAAUUUCGAUAAGUCCGGAAGGGAAGUUAUUUUUCACAAGAUGAACAAAAAUCUUUUACACAGUAAAAUAUUUUCAUUAACUUUUGUGCAACCAAAUAAGGGAAAUUAGGAAAAUAUUUUCCUGAAAAAGAUUUCACUUGAAACAAAUGGACCCGAAAUGAUACUCAUAUACAAUAUUUGUUUAAGACCUGUCUGAAUGAAUCAAUGGGUAUGAAAAGCCGAAUCUGAGGGUUUCAUCAUUAGCUAUUUUGCUAGUUAUUCAACUUGAUUAUCCCUUUGUCCUAAUUUUUUUUAUGAAACAAAAUCAAAACAGAAGCAAAAAAAAUUAGUAAAUAAAUUAAAGGGACACGUAUCUCUCUCACCACCUUCUGUUCCCCUUCCCUCUGUCCCCUCAAAAUCGCCUCAAAGCUAUGUACCUAGUUCGUAUCUAUAUCGCUUUAAAUGGAUUUGUGGCCACACAAGUUUCAUUUCAUUCCAUUUCAGAAUAAAAUAAUCUUUUUUAACUUUUGUUGUAGUACCAUAUUUUAAUGCAAUCGGAUCAUAUCUAAUCUUUAAUUAUAUUAUCUUUCCAGCUAAAGGAUAAACUUGCGAGAAAUAGAAUUUGUGAGAGGACUCGUCGUUUAAUUAAAUUUGGCAAGACCAACUUGUGCAGUGAUAUUUGGGAGGAUGAUCCAAGAAAGAGAAUAUAUUAUUAAAGAUAUUCCAAUGAAAGAUACGUUAGGAGAGGCAAGUGUUACCUUUACACAAAAUGAAGUCCCAGAUUUUAAAAAAUUGCUCAGCAAAAACGAACUAAAAUAUUCAUAAACAUGCAAAGAUAAUGUAAGUUUGCAGAAAAUUAUUAUAGGAAAAGAUGCUUUUUUGUCAGCUUUAAUUGAGGAAAAUAAGAAUAUCAUAAGUAGGAAGAGCUACAAUGCUCGAUUCUAUUAUACAAGCAUUGUUGAUCUAGAAAAUGUUGGAUAAGACAUAAAAGAAGGCAUGGGUGCAUUCCGGCUCAAUCUAUCAAAAGGGCCCUCACAGAACAAGGAAAGAAAAAGCAAAAUACCAAUCUGGGCAGCUUGGAUUUAUUGCAAACAGGAUACAAGUCUUACGAUCAAACCAGAAGAGCCAUAAUCAAUACAAUAUUGCAGAAGCUCAACACGAAGCUUCUUUAUUCGGUGCAUAAAACUCUCAAAUCAUACUUGAUGCUAUGCUCACAAUUACCCAAACCAAGUUUUAACUUUUAAUAGUUUUAUUUUUUUUUUCUCUCAAGUUAAAGGAUUUCCACAAAAUCAAUAUUUGACAUACGCACUGGUGGUGUUGACAUCUUUGGCGAGAGUCAAAAGCAGUGGCAUAAGCAAGCACUUCGAAGUGUCUUGCUUGUAGACAAAUCCCUUGCAAUUGCAAUCAUUGGUGCACUUGUCUCUGCAUGCUCCAAAUUCCAUUUCCACUUCUUGACUAUCAGAAGACCACUGGUGGUUCAAGAAGGAUUGCACCCCAUCAAGCUUGAAAUAUUUUGCCUUUGGUUUCUUCCCACACGAGCCCAACUUUGGUGGUUGACAAUUUUCUGUCCAUGCCAAGAGCCCUUUUGGUGUAGGACAUGCCACACACAUCCCAUUUUGGCACAAUCCAAAAUUACCACAUUUUGUCGGCAAAGCACAUGCUGUUGCAAGAUCACUUGGAAAGAAAGUAUAGGUCUGCAUCCAUCUAUCAAAUCUGACUUUGUCAUAGUAAGUAUAAGCCUUGACAUUGCCGUCAGUUUCAAGCCUCAGAAAAGAGUACGUUGCAUUGUAAUUUAGUUUACUGAGUUGUUGAAUCCCGUCAACCUGUGGUUUUGGUGCUGGCGAUUCGAAUAUUUCAAAGAUAAGGUUCCAAGCUAUUGGAGUAGGCUCCCACGUCGAAGGUUGGGUGUUAAACCUUACAGUACUUCCAAAAUUCCCCGGCCAACCAUUGUAGCGAACUUGUUGGCCAGCGUUGUUUAGAUACAAGAGGAGGCCAUCAUCUCCAAGCACUAAGCUGUACUUUCGAUCGGAGCCAUCAACAUCAGAAGUUCGACUGACAAGCUUGUUUACGCCACUCUCGCGAAGGGACUGCCCAACUAGUAACGAAUCAACUGGAUAAUCAAAG
rnacentral:lncRNA from 1 species